rnacentral:rRNA from 1 species
UGGGGAAUAUUGCACAAUGGGGGGAAACCCUGAUGCAGCAACGCCGCGUGAGUGAAGAAGGUUUUCGGAUCGUAAAGCUCUGUUGUAAGUCAAGAACGGGUGUGAGAGUGGAAAGUUCACACUAUGACGGUAGCUUACCAGAAAGGGACGGCUAACUACGUGCCAGCAGCCGCGGUAAUACGUAGGUCCCGAGCGUUGUCCGGAUUUAUUGGGCGUAAAGCGAGCGCAGGCGGUUUGAUAAGUCUGAAGUUAAAGGCUGUGGCUCAACCAUAGUUCGCUUUGGAAACUGUCAAACUUGAGUGCAGAAGGGGAGAGUGGAAUUCCAUGUGUAGCGGUGAAAUGCGUAGAUAUAUGGAGGAACACCGGUGGCGAAAGCGGCUCUCUGGUCUGUAACUGACGCUGAGGCUCGAAAGCGUGGGGAGCGAACAGGAUUAGAUACCC